rnacentral:rRNA from 1 species
GGAUGGGGUCGCGUCCUAUCAGGUAGUCGGCGGGGUAACGGCCCACCGAGCCUACGACGGGUAGCCGGCCUGAGAGGGCGACCGGCCACAUUGGGACUGAGAUACGGCCCAGACUCCUACGGGAGGCAGCAGUGGGGAAUAUUGCACAAUGGGCGCAAGCCUGAUGCAGCGACGCCGCGUGCGGGAUGACGGCCUUCGGGUUGUAAACCGCUUUUGAUCGGGAGCAAGCCUUCGGGUGAGUGUACCUUUCGAAUAAGCACCGGCUAACUACGUGCCAGCAGCCGCGGUAAUACGUAGGGUGCAAGCGUUAUCCGGAAUUAUUGGGCGUAAAGGGCUCGUAGGCGGUUCGUCGCGUCCGGUGUGAAAGUCCAUCGCUUAACGGUGGAUCUGCGCCGGGUACGGGCGGG